ACACAUGCAGUCGAACGGUAAGGCCCNAGCUUGCUGGGGUACACGAGUGGCGAACGGGUGAGUAACACGUGGGUGACCUGCCCCGCACUUCGGGAUAAGCCUGGGAAACUGGGUCUAAUACCGGAUAGGACCGCACCGUGAGGGUGUGGUGGAAAGUUUUUCGGUGUGGGAUGGGCCCGCGGCCUAUCAGCUUGUUGGUGGGGUAAUGGCCUACCAAGGCGGCGACGGGUAGCCGGCCUGAGAGGGUGGACGGCCACAUUGGGACUGAGACACGGCCCAGACUCCUACGGGAGGCAGCAGUGGGGAAUAUUGCACAAUGGGCGGAAGCCUGAUGCAGCGACGCCGCGUGGGGGAUGACGGCCUUCGGGUUGUAAACUCCUUUCACCAUCGACGAAGGUUUUCUGACGGUAGAUGGAGAAGAAGCACCGGCUAACUACGUGCCAGCAGCCGCGGUAAUACGUAGGGUGCGAGCGUUGUCCGGAAUUACUGGGCGUAAAGAGCUCGUAGGUGGUUUGUCGCGUCGUCUGUGAAAUUCCGGGGCUUAACUCCGGGCGUGCAGGCGAUACGGGCAUAACUUGAGUACUGUAGGGGAGACUGGAAUUCCUGGUGUAGCGGUGAAAUGCGCAGAUAUCAGGAGGAACACCGGUGGCGAA
rnacentral:rRNA from 1 species